rnacentral:lncRNA from 1 species
CAGUUAAGCAGUGCGUCUGCUUACUGUCUGUUAUAUAACUUUAGACCCAAGGACAAUGCUUGACAGGGUCAGUAUUCAAAAAUCUGUCCAAGGUGCCUUUGUUUGGUGCUCUCCGACGAGUGUUUAAGCAAUAUAUGCACAAGCAGGUUUGAAGACAUGUCUUUAAUGUCUUUGCAAACUUAAUUUUCAUUGUGGAAACCAAUAAGGAGCCUGCAUCUCUUCAAUUUCUGAGCCAAUUAUCCCAGAAAAAGUUAACGCUAAGGUUUCUUCUCACAGCUGCCAAAACUAGAAUUGGAGAUGCUAGAGAGGAAGAUGUAGAAAAUGGGCAAAAUAUCAGCCUGAUACCAUGAGGAUGAAUGAGAGCUUACCCUUGCCUCUCCACAACCACAGCAGUUUGGUGAUUUUGGACCAGUCUGAAAAUGUAGAAAGUGAGCUGAGACUUAUUUCAGCUGAGCAUUUCUCAAAGUAUGACAUAUGAGGCAGCACUUGAGAUGAUUUUAGGGUGUGUGGACAAACUUUGUUAUCAUGUCAAUUAUAGAUAUAUCUAAUGACCAUAGAAAA